rnacentral:rRNA from 1 species
AGAGUUUGAUCCUGGCUCAGGACAAACUUUGGCGGCGUGCCUAAUACAUGCAAGUCGAGCGAGCUUGCCUAGAUGAUUUUAGUGCUUGCACUAAAUGAAACUAGAUACAAGCGAGCGGCGGACGGGUGAGUAACACGUGGGUAACCUGCCCAAGAGACUGGGAUAACACCUGGAAACAGAUGCUAAUACCGGAUAACAACACUAGACGCAUGUCUAGAGUUUGAAAGAUGGUUCUGCUAUCACUCUUGGAUGGACCUGCGGUGCAUUAGCUAGUUGGUAAGGUAACGGCUUACCAAGGCAAUGAUGCAUAGCCGAGUUGAGAGACUGAUCGGCCACAUUGGGACUGAGACACGGCCCAAACUCCUACGGGAGGCAGCAGUAGGGAAUCUUCCACAAUGGACGAAAGUCUGAUGGAGCAACGCCGCGUGAGUGAAGAAGGGUUUCGGCUCGUAAAGCUCUGUUGGUAGUGAAGAAAGAUAGAGGUAGUAACUGGCCUUUAUUUGACGGUAACUACUUAGAAAGUCACGGCUAACUACGUGCCAGCAGCCGCGGUAAUACGUAGGUGGCAAGCGUUGUCCGGAUUUAUUGGGCGUAAAGCGAGUGCAGGCGGUUCAAUAAGUCUGAUGUGAAAGCCUUCGGCUCAACCGGAGAAUUGCAUCAGAAACUGUUGAACUUGAGUGCAGAAGAGGAGAGUGGAACUCCAUGUGUAGCGGUGGAAUGCGUAGAUAUAUGGAAGAACACCAGUGGCGAAGGCGGCUCUCUGGUCUGCAACUGACGCUGAGGCUCGAAAGCAUGGGUAGCGAACAAAAUUAGAUACCCUGGUAGUCCAUGCCGUAAACGAUGA